rnacentral:misc_RNA from 1 species
GAUGAAGAACGCAGCGAAAUGCGAUAAGUAGUGUGAAUUGCAGAAUUCAGUGAAUCAUCGAAUCUUUGAACGCACAUUGCGCCCCAUGGUAUUCCGUGGGGCAUGCCUGUUCGAGCGUCAUUAUCACCCCUCAAGCUCCGGCUUGGUGUUGAGGCCUGCUGUAAAGGCACCCUCUAAAAUCAGUGGCAGUGCUGUCAGGCUCUAAGCGUAGUAAUUCUCUCGCUACAGGGUCCCGGUGGACACUCGCCAGAACCCCCCCAUUUUUUAAUGAUUGACCUCGGAUUAGGUAGGGAUACCCGCUGAACUUAAGCAUAUCAAUAAGCGGAGGA